UACCAUGACACACUAACUCUCCCUUUGGAGGACAGUGAAGAAUCUGGGACAGCAUCCAAAAAACAGAAGGAGUGAUGAUGAUGCAAGUUUAAGACAUCAUUUCACAUCAGAGUGACAGCAACAGAGCAAAGCAUUCUCUGGAGAGCCUGAACAUGCUUUAUUCAGCAUCAGGUCCGAACUCCAUCCCAGACUUUCCAGCCUGCCCUAGCCUGCCUUGCUCACGCCUCCCAGGAUGACCUCACUGACUGGCGGCCAUAUAUAAAGAGGAAGAGGAACAAGAAUGUGUGGGAUGUUGGAUGUGGUUUCAUGUGUUUGGAGAUUGUGUUUGGCUGUAUGCUAUUUUCUGACUGCUGUUUUGGUAUUUGACUUUUGCCUGGUCUUUGACUUUGAGUUUGGUUGUCCCUAAACCUGUUUGUGUAUUCUCUUCACUUUUGUAUAUAUGUUCACUUGGUUCACCGGCAGUAGGGGUGUGGCUCCCAUUUCUUUUGUGUGAGGGUUCCUUUUUUUUCUGUUUCUUGCUUAGGUAGUUAGGGAAGUAUGUGUAUUUUCUUUAUUUUCCUUUUAGGUAAGCUAGCUACCUAAACAAUAGAAUUAUUUUGUUUAUUAUUUUAACCUUGGCCCUCCCUGAAGAUAUGCCUCGUUUGGUUAAUUUGUACAAUUUUAUAUAUAUAUAUUGUCUUACAAUAUACCACAACGC
ensembl:lncRNA